CUUGAACCGGGCAAAAGUCGUAACAAGGUUUCUGUAGGUGAACCUGCAGAAGGAUCA
rnacentral:rRNA from 1 species